UGGCAAAGCAGGAGCCCUCCGUGGCAGUACUUGGGCAUCGGGGCUCCGAGGCUCUGGCCUGACCUCUCCACGGGGUCGACAGGAACGUCUCUGGAUGCCAAGAGUCGCAAAGGGCCGACCAGGAUGAAGAAACCCCCGGCGGAGUCCGUAGGAAGCACCACAGCAGCCUAGCCUCAGGCCUGCCCAGAAGGUGUUCGGAUAUGUGUUGUUCCUGGUGCUCUCCUGUCCCUCUUUCAGCCAGCACUGAGCCAGCAGGAAGGAUCUCACAGGUCAUAUCCUGAGAUCAACCCUCCACCUCUUCAGACACAGUGCUCAAGAUAGCAUCUUGGAUGCAGAGACCAGACCCUCACCAGACACCAAUCCUGCUGGCACCUUGAUCUUGGACUUCCAGCCUAUGGAACUGUGAGAAAUACAUUUCUGUUCUUCAGAAAUUACCCAACCUAGUGUAUUUUCUUAUAUAGUAGCACAAACUCAUUAAGGCACAAUGCCUCUUGUCAUUUUCUUCUACAAUUUUCUUUGUUGCCUCUUUAGCACU